UGUUUGUUUGUUUGUUUGUUAUUUAGUAUUAUUGGUGUGCUGGUUGUUCUUGUUUUGGUUGAUUUAUUGGGCAGUGACAAGAGCCAGUUGGUGAAUCUGAAGAAUGGGAUCCAUUAAAAAUACUAGGGAUUGACAGGGGAGCUACUGUGUCUCAGAUAAACUUGAUGCUGAUGUAAUGUUGCUGGUGAUGUUGCUGAUGAACUUGAAGCCUCUAUAGCAAAAUAUAAAGAAGAAUAUGCAAUGGUUGUAUCUGAUGCUAGUGUUAUCAAGAAUGAUUUAUCAACUGUUGAGAAAAAGGUGAGUUCCUCCCUUGUUUGUGUCACCUUGAGAAGAGUCUCCUCACUGCAUUGAACGAGGUCAAGGGUCGUAUCCUAGACAACAACAGAAUCAUUACUGAGCUUCAGACUCUUAAGGAAGAGGCUGCAGAAGUUCAGAGGAAGAUGGAGGAGACUGAUACUGUAAUGGCUGAAUUUGACAGAGUCUCCCAGCAAUACCUGCCUCUCUCCACCUCCUGCUCUGCCAUGUACUUCACUCUGGAGUCACUCAAUCAGGUUGUGGACCUGAGGCUGAACUCAUCAUCUCAAGGACUGAUCUCUCAUUCAUAUACUGAAGAUCUAUAGACUAGGUUUAGGAACUAAGGACUGUAACACUAUAA